UGGAGGAAUCUGCAUUUUGAGAAGUACGAUAGUUUCAGACAAGGAAGCUGGUGUGAAGCUUCGACAUAGGAAGGGAGGGGAGAGGACCAAGUAUUCCCUUUGUUGUAUUGCUUUUGGUGGUCCUAUCCAUUUUUUCCUCUCCCAAGAUUCUCUCAGAGGUGUGAGAUUAGCUCCUGUUAAGGGAGUUCCUUUUGAGUGCAAGAGGAAGUCCCAAUUGGAUGGUGGGUGUUGGUUCAAAUGAGAGCUCUGGGAACUGAAUGAUGGGAGGCAGUGGCUUAUGUUUAUAUUGGAGGAAAAAUUUUUGGAAGGGUGUUGGUUAAGGUUUUUGGAAUGCUCAGUGAGGUGGAUUAAAAGAGGGCAGCGGGAGGAAGAAGGAGGAGGGCGGUGAGGAUGGAAGGAUGGGAAGGAUGGAGAACCAUAACAUGCAUGAAUUCUUGACGAGGAAUUCAGUCCCACCCCAAUGCCCCCAACCCCAACUGCUGCUGGUCCCUCAGGCUUCCGUCAAACACACAGCACCCCUCAACCACCCACCCCCACCCGGC
rnacentral:lncRNA from 1 species